rnacentral:rRNA from 1 species
GACGGAGGUGGCAAGCGUUGUUCGGAAUCACUGGGCUUAAAGGGCACGUAGGCGGCCUGUCAAGCGUCCUGUGAAAUCCCUCGGCUCAACCGAGGAAUGGCUUGGCGAACUGACAGGCUUGAGGCAGGUAGGGGCGUGUGGAACUCUUGGUGGAGCGGUGGAAUGCGUAGAUAUCAAGAGGAACGCCGGUGGCGAAGGCGAUGCGCUGGGCCUGUCCUGACGCUGAGGUGCGAAAGCUAGGGGAGCGAACGGGAUUAGAUACCCCCGUA